rnacentral:tRNA from 1 species
GCCCGCGUGGCGCAAUGGUAGCGCGGCCGAUUUGUAAUCGGCAGGUUAGUGGGUUCGAAUCCCCUCGCGGGCUCCA